AGUGAACGCUGGCGGUAGGCCUAACGCAUGCAAGUCGAACGGCAGCACAGUAAGAGCUUGCUCUUACGGGUGGCGAGUGGCGGACGGGUGAGGAAUACAUCGGAAUCUACUUUUUCGUGGGGGAUAACGUAGGGAAACUUACGCUAAUACCGCAUACGACCUACGGGUGAAAGCAGGGGAUCUUCGGACCUUGCGCGAUUGAGUAAGCCGAUGUCGGAUUAGCUAGUUGGCGGGGUAAAGGCCCACCAAGGCGACGAUCCGUAGCUGGUCUGAGAGGAUGAUCAGCCACACUGGAACUGAGACACGGUCCAGACUCCGACGGGAGGCAGCAGUGGGGAAUAUUGGACAAUGGGCGCAAGCCUGAUCCAGCCAUACCGCGUGGGUGAAGAAGGCCUUCGGGUUGUAAAGCCCUUCUGUUGGGAAAGAAAAGCAGCAGGUUAAUACCCCGCUGUUCUGACGGUACCCAAAGAAUAAGCACCGGCUAACUUCGU
rnacentral:rRNA from 1 species